GAUUGCUUGCUGGUCACAUGGGCAGUAUAGUUAAUUAUUACACUGAGCUGUGCAGGGGGACCCUGGGAGUGUGAAGAAAAAAUGCACCACAGAACCACCUGGACCCAAGACAAAGCUUGAGCCAACGGACACCUGCGGCUAAUGGUCACCAAGGAGAAGAUGGGCCUCUACACCAUAUACGUCAAUCCAGCCAACACCUACCAAUUUGCUGUGGGUGAGAGGGAUCAGUUUGUCAGGAUCUACGACCAGCGGACAAUUAAUGAAAAUGUAAAUAACGGCAUGCUCAAAAAGUUCUGUCCCAUCACCUGGUGAACUGCCUGGAGCCGCACCCCCACCUGCCUGUGUUGGCCACCAGCGGCCUCGAUUAUAAUGUGCAAAUCUGGCUUCCCACUGCC